AUGUCUCUUUGAAAAAGAAAGCAUAAAGAGUCUGGCCUGCCCGGUGACAUGAGUUUAACGGCUGCAGUAUCCUGACUGUGCAAAGGUAGCAUAAUAACUUGCCUUUUAAUUGGAGGAUAGAAUCAACUGCCUGACGAGAGCAAAGCUGUCUUUUUUAUUUUUGCUAGAAUUUAUUUUUUAAGUUAAAAGACUUAAAUGUAACUAAAAGACGAUAAGACCCUAUUGAGCUUUAAAGAAGCAAAAUAGUUAUUUAUUAUUGAUUAAAUUAAUAGUAGUUUUAGGAAAUUUUAGUUGGGGCGACCGCGGAGUAUAAAAAACCUCCGGAUUAAAAGAGUUAAUUUCUAUUUUUGAUCCACAUAUUUAUGAUAGGUGGAAUUAGUUACCAUAGGGAUAACAGCGCACUACUCUUAAGGAGAUCAUAUUUUUUAGAGAGAUCGCGACCUCGAUGUUGGAUUAAGGUAUACUAAAAGGCGCAGGAGCUUUUUAAGUUAGUCUGUUCGACUAUUAAAUCCUU
rnacentral:rRNA from 1 species